rnacentral:rRNA from 2 species
UAAGCGCGCGCAGGCGGUCCUUUAAGUCUGAUGUGAAAGCCCACGGCUCAUCCGUGGAGGGUCAUUGGAAACUGGGGGACUUGAGUGCACAAGAGGAAAGCGGAAUUCCACGUGUAGCGGUGAAAUGCGUAGAGAUGUGGAGGAACACCAGUGGCGAAGGCGGCUUUCUGGUCUGUAACUGACGCUGAGGCGCGAAAGCGUGGGGAGCAAACAGGAUUAGAUACCCUGGUAGUCCACGCCGUAAACGAUGAGUGCUAAGUGUUAGAGGCUUUCCGCCCUUUAGGGCUGCAGCUAACGCAUUAAGCACUCCGCCUGGGGAGUACGGCCGCAAGGCUGAAACUCAAAGGAAUUGACGGGG